rnacentral:rRNA from 1 species
UACGUAGGGGGCAAGCGUUGUCCGGAUUCAUUGGGCGUAGAGAGCGUGUAGGCGGCCAGGCAGGUCCGCUGUGAAAACUCGAGGCUCAACCUCGAGAUGUCGGUGGAAACCGUCUGGCUAGAGUCCGGAAGAGGAGAGUGGAAUUCCCGGUGUAGCGGUGAAAUGCGCAGAUAUCGGGAAGAACACCCGUGGCGAAGGCGGCUCUCUGGGACGGUACUGACGCUGAGACGCGAAAGCGUGGGGAGCGAACAGG